GAUAGCUCAGUUGGUAGAGCAAUCGGCUGUUAACCGAUCGGUCGUAGGUUCGAGUCCUAAUUCCCGGACGGGUCACCA
rnacentral:tRNA from 1 species